UGAAACAUGCAUAUAUAUACAAAUCAUAUACAUAGCCUCUUAUUUAAUAUUUAAUAAACUUUCAUUUAUAAAAUGUGCAGUGACUACAAGGGCAUUGAUCAAACUAAAGCACAGUUUCCCAACCCUAAAUUUUUGGCAGCAAACAAAGAGGGCACUAAUCAAAAGCUAUAACUAAACAAUUCAAUUAAACGAUAUAAAUUCUUGUAUUUAAGUUAUACUUUUAUUAAAAAGAUAAAUAAAACUAAUGUUAGUUAAAUUAUAAGUUGUUUUUAUAAAUUAAACCGAGGAGUUUAUGAAAAAUUUAAAAAUAACUUAUAGACAUAUUAUAAUUAUUUUCUUACAUUCUCUCAAAUAAUAUCACACACAUUUAUUCUAUUUAAUAAUAUCAAAUAAGUCAAUAUAAACAAAUUUAUAUUGUGUGCAUAACUAACUUAAUUAAAAACGUAUAACAUGAUCGUUUAUCAUUUAAAUGUUUAUAUAUAAACAAUUUAUGUAAUAAAAGAUAAUAUAAAUUAAAUGAUUUUAAAUAAACAAUUUAAUAUAAGAUGUUUUCAUAUUCUAUUCUUGAUAACUUAUAAAAAUACGCUAAAAUUAGUUUAUGAAAGAUGCAUAAGUUGUUUAUUCUCCCCCUAAUAAAACUAACAACAACUCCCAAGGUGAAGCUGAGUUAACUAAAAUGGUAUUUAGGUGUUAGUGUUAAUAUUUUCAAAAAAUAAAAUAGAGAAAAUAAUAUAAAAUUUAGUUACUUGUGGCUGGGUAGUGUCAAGCGCCGAAGAUUGGUUGAUUCGAGAUUCAAGCCAAGUGAACAAUGUUGGUGUUGCAUGAGACAAAAUAACAAUUAGGGAGAAUGUGAGGAUUAAGGUAAGAACUUUCAUGAUUUUAUUAAUCUCUUUUGUUUGCAUUAAAGAGAAGAGAUGGAUACAUGAGAUACUGAUUUUAGAUAUUGUUGAAUUUUGUAGAGUGCUCUAAUAGAUACAUGAGAUUAUCAAUAUUUAAAAAAAUCUAUGACUCUGUAAAAAUAUUAUUUAUAUUAGUCUUUUUAUAAUAUAUGGUAAACUAUAUGGGACAAAUUGUAAAUUCGAUACUAAUGUCGGACACUUUGAUUGUAAGUAGUUUACUAAAAUGGUAUUUGGGUGUUAGUGUUAAUAUUUUCAUAUUUGGAUGAUUAGUUAAAAUUCAAGAAAAAUUCUCAGUACUCAAAUAAAGCCUUUUCAAGUUCAAUAUAAGUAGAAAAUCAUUUAUGUCAGGUCAAACACUUAAAUUACAUGAACUUAGUAUAAAAUACUAAGAUCAAGCUAAAUAUAAGAUCAAGCUAAUUAUAAGCAGGAAAAUAAGUAUAAGCAAAAAAUCAAAUACAGUUGAAGCUAAAUAUUAAAAUGUUCAAUUUUGGCAGAUCAAACAAUAAAAUUACAUGAACUCAGUUCAAAUUACAUGGCUUAUAUAAAACAAUUAAACACAUUAAGAUGCCUUUCUUAUUUUCCUGGUGGGAUUCACAUUUGUUUAUCUAUUAACGAUACAAAACGAUGGAUUAAUCCAAAUUUCCUCAUCAUGAUCAUCCCUAAGAUAUAAAUCAUCAUCAAUUGAAUCAAUUUCAUGUGGUUGUGAGGGUUCGUAGGGUUAGAACAACGUAUUAAAUUUGUUUUUAUUUAUUUAAAGUGAAUGAUUUUUAUUUAAAGCGCAAGUCCUUUACAACGCUUGUAUAAAAAGCGCUCUAAUAAGUCAUUUAAUUAUAUGAAAGCGCAUGAACUUUACAGCGCUUUCACAAAAAGCGCUUUAAAAGCCAUGUAACAUAAGAUGAGAGCGCUACAUUUUACAGCGCUUGUGUUUAAAGCGCUCAAAAAGCGUUGUAAAAGCUAUGGGAGAUCGCUUCAAUUUACAGCGUUUUUAAGCUAUGGGAGAGCGCUUCAAUUUACAGCGCUUUUACAAAAAGCGCUCUAAAAGGAUUGUAAACAUUAUGUGCAAACGCUAUAUGACCCUACAACAGCGCUUGUCAAAAAAGCGUUGUUGUAUCCUCCGUUAUUUUUAAAAAAUUCUACAACAGCACUUGUAUUUAAUAAACGCCGUAAAAAAUGCGCUAUAAUAUGUCUAUUUUUGGCAUAGUGACUCAUAUACAUAGCCUCUUAUUUAAUAUGUAAUCAAACAUGAAAUCCAUUUGAGUACAUAAAACUUUCAUGUAAAAAAUGUGUAGCAACUACACUUCAAAAGGGUAUUGAUGAAAUUGAAGCAUCAUUUUCCAACGUAAAUUUUUGCAGAAACAAAAAGGGCACUAACGAAAAACUACUAUUAAACAGAUUGUCCGUUUUGUUUAUAAUAAAUUAUAUCAAAGAGUUUAUAAAAAUAAAUUAAAAAUAUUUAUAAAAAUCAUAACUUUUUAUAUUCCACUCUCUCCAAUAAUAUCAUACGUGUUUAUCCUAUUUGAUAAUCUCAAAUAAUUUAAUAUAAACAAACUUAUGUUGCGCAGAUAACUAACUUAAAUAGAAACUUAUAAUAUAUAUAAACAUUUAUCAUUUAAGUGUUUAUAUAUAAAUAAUUUAUGUAAUAAAAAAUAAAAUUAAGUAAAAUUAUUUUAAAGUAAUCUAUUUAAUAUAAAUUAUUUUCAUAUUCUAUUCUUAAAAGGUUAUAAAAAUAAAAUAAAAUAAAAUCAGUUAAUGAAAAUACAAUAAAUUAUUUUAGAAGUUCCGCCAAAUACUCUGCAGAGAUGUUACUCUUCCACUAACUAAACUAACAACUACUCCAAAGUUGAGGUCGAGUGAAUUAAAUGAGUAUUUUUGUGUUAGGGUUAAUAUUUCAAAAAAUAUAUUAAAAUAAAGUGGCGAAUAUAUAUAAAAUUUAAUUACUUGUAGUUGAGCAUCGUCAAGCGCAGAAGAUUGCUUCAUUUGAGGUUUAAUCCGACUUAGAAAUGUUGGUGUUGCAUGCGAUAAAACAAUUAGGGAGAACGUGAGAAUUAAGGUAAGAGUUUUCAUAAUUUUGCUAACCUUUUUUCUUUUCAUCAAAGAGAAGAAGGAACGCCUAAUUGAUUUUAGACAUUGUUGGGUUAUAUUAUAACGUUACCCAAAGACAAUAUUUAAACUAAGACACCAUGAAAUACUAACAAAACAAAAUACUUUACUUUUUUAUUUAAUUGUAAUUUUAAUCCCUCUAUUUUUACUAAUUUACGAAAUUGGUUCUCCUAUUUUUAAAUCGACAGUUUUGCACUCUUUUUAUGAUUUUUAACUAAAAAAUGAUGACGUGUGAUGUUUUAAAUAACGUGACAUAUGAUACGAUAAUAUAAAAUGAUUAACACUCAUAAAAUUGGAAUAAAACAUAGUAAAAUUUAACUUUCAUGCUUCAUAAAUUUUUCAUAUUUUUUAUUUAGUUAAUUUCAUAUGAAUAAUUAAUUAAUCUAGAUGAUUCUAUAUCAUAGAAUUUUAUCUCAUCAUUAAAAAUAUGUCAAUUCUGCAAUUUUUAGUUCAAAUAUCUAAAAGGGGACUAAAACUAUCGACUUUUAAAAUAGAAUGACCAUUUUCGUGAAUUGAUAAUAAUAGAGGGAUUAAAACUGUAAUUAAGUCUUUUUUUAAUUUUAAUAUUGUGUAAACCAUCUAAUUGUACAUAAUCUUGUAGAGCGCUCUAACAUGUCUACGGAAUUAUUAAUAUUUCAAAUCAUUUAUAACUCGGCAAAACAUUAGUCAUAUUAGUCCUUCUGAUAAUAUAUGGUUCAAUAUAGGGACCAAAUUGCAAAUUCAAUAAUAAUGUCAGAGACAAAAUUAAUGAUAAAUUAUAAAAUAUUCAGACUUUAUUGUUUGUAAUUGUUUAAAUGUUUGUACCAACUUGAUAGUUUAGUUGUCCCUGAUUGACAUUAAAACUUAUAUGAGGAAUAUUUAAUAGAGACAAAAAUAUUUUUAAAAUAUUUAUAAUUUCAUUAAUCUAUUUGAGAACGCCGUAUAAAGUUAGAGAUCAAUUUCAUCAUGAACUUCUUUAUUAUUUUAUUACUAUUUUUGUACUAUGUUGAGUAGCUCAUUUAUAAAAAAUAGUUAAAAAAUAAAUGCCUUUUCGUUUUCAAUUCAAUAUUUGUUAUUAUUUUUUAAAUUCUACAACUUAUUAAUACUAUUUUCGUUACACUUAAAAUUUAAUCAAUAUUUUUCAAGUUAUAUUUAUCUUCCAUCUCUUUUUUGACGAAUUAUAUAUAUAUAUAUAUAUAUAUAUAUAUCUAUAUAUAUAUAUUACAAAUUAUGCAUUUUCUUAAUAUUGGCCCAUAAAGUUCUAAUAUUUGUUAACAAUAAUGUUUUGAAAAUUAUUCAAGUAUUUGUUUACAAUGAAUAACUUUAACCUUUGAAUUUCCAUAUAAAUAGAAUAAAACUCAAUAAAUUUGUUAAAUUUUAUUUUGUAUAUUUAAGAUGGUUUAUCCAAUAGUUUAAUCUACUAAAUUUUUAACUAAAUUAUAUAAUUUCCGAGUUAGACUUAAAAUGGAUUCAUUGCUCAACCGUUCAAUUCCCUCUUUCAGUUUGAUUUUCAUAUAUAUUAGUAUUAUAUGUCAUGAAAAAUAACUUUCUUUAGGUAAAAAGGAGUUAAUUGAAGAAAAACAAAUUGUACAUCUUUGUAAACCUUAAAGGAUCCAUGGAAGAACAAAAAGGUGUGUAAUAUAAUAAUUCACUAUUCUUUUGCUUUUCUUAAAGAUCAUCUAUUAUUUGUUGAUUUGGCCCUUUCAUUCAAACUUAUUUCGGUAAGGGGAACACACACAUUACAAUAUUUUACAUUUUAAUAUGAUUGAUUUAUAUAUUCAAAAGUAAAUUUAACAUAAAUU
rnacentral:lncRNA from 1 species